rnacentral:lncRNA from 1 species
UGCUGGAGAUUAUAUAUACAUGGAACACUCAGGCCCAAGAAUGCAAAUUCUUCUGGGCAAACAAUCCAGGGGGUUUGUGGUAUUUAUUCUACCAAGCACUAUACAUACAAUAUUGUAAGGCUCAGAAUAAAAGUUUUAUAUUUUUAACUGUUGCUUUCAAGCUGAACCUCAAAAGAAGCUAUGCUUUAGUUCAAGGCUUGAACUUGCUGUUGAAAAGAAAAUCAACAAAGCAAUUUUCUUUAUAGUGAGUAACUACAUCUACCUAUGCCUUUGAGUGUAUGAUAAGAAGAUUAACAGAGUCUCAAGCAACUGGAGUUUUCCACUGCAGUUUUGUCCUCCUUUGCUCUAGUAAUCAUUCAAGCUUAGCAGCAUUUGUUAAAUUCAGAUACAGGUCAACUGUAUUUCGAUCAAGUUCAAAGAAAUAGGUGCAGCUGAUUGAGCCAUAGUAUAAAAAUAGAAAUGUACACAGAAAAGAGUGCCUGGAUGACGCCUGUAUUGAUAAAUGUGAUAAUAUUUUGCUUCUCAGCUGAUGAAAUAGCAGGUUUCUAACUAUGGAGUAAACUAUCUUUCUGAAAAUUCUAGUUAGAUGGUAAGAAAUCUGCCUUAUUGAAAAGUAUUUUGCCAAGAAACAUCUUCUGUAAGGUAAGUUAGAUACAGAUGUCAUUCCUCAUCUGCAAGUAAACGGAUAAAUUAAAAGGAAUAUGUAUUUUUGAUCUGAUCACCUUGUGUAAGGUCAUUUUGGUUGGUUUAUAAUGCAUCUGCAGCACUACAAUAAGCAUUAAGUUCAGGGUUGUCAGAUUUGCCACUAAUUAAUAGAUCGAAAACAAUAAGACAUGAGGCAAGCCUAUAGGAAUCAGGCCCAGUGUAUGUUGGUUAGUGUAAAGCCAUGCACACAGAAAUAAGUGUUUUGAAGUGACCAGGACCUUGGCUGAUUGGAUCUGGGCGCUGUAAAAAGGCCUGGUUGCUAGCAAACGUUGAGAGCUUAACUGUGGAAACAAGAGAGUUUUCCUAUAAUUAUUUCAAUACAGGCUUAAAUCAGCUAAAACCACAAGUCAUUAAAAUGGGCUGGGAUUAUUUUUAUUUUUUUUUUAAUAAACAUUAUAAUAGACUCUGAAAGCUGAAGAAGGUGACAUAAUAGCAGUGGACUGCACCAAUCUCCUGUUUCCCACUGAACAGCCUCUUGCUGCACAAGUCAUGUCCCUGAAAUCUGUAUGAAUCGGGGGAGAGGGGGGAAGAGGGAAGGAAAAGGAGGCAGAAAGGUCCUACA